UAAACGACUCUCGGCAACGGAUAUCUCGGCUCUUGCAUCGAUGAAGAACGUAGCGAAAUGCGAUACUUGGUGUGAAUUGCAGAAUCCCGUGAACCAUCGAGUCUUUGAACGCAAGUUGCGCCUGAAGCCAUUAGGCUGAAGGCACGGCUGCCUGGGCGUCACGC
rnacentral:rRNA from 1 species